CAGCUUGUGGCUCGUGUCCAUCUUGCAGGUGGCUCUUCCUCCACAUCACGACUGGGGUCUCGAAGAGGACGGGGGAUGCCUCCAAGUUGUGAGAAAAUCAAGCAUCUACAAGGAAAGGCCACAUGUCGGCAUUCCAGCCACAGCCUCAGCUGAGGUCAGAGCUAACAGCCAGCAUCAACCACUAACCACACAAGUGAAGGAGACUUCGAAGCUUCAAACUGCCCCAGCUAAUGCCAAGUGGAGCAGAGAUGAGUUGUCCCUGCUGAAAUUGCAGACUCAUGAGCAAAAUAAAUGUAGUUGUUUUAAGAC
rnacentral:lncRNA from 1 species